UGCAAGCAGGAAGCAAGAGCCCUCUGAAAGGCCUCCUGGCCAAAGCCAUCUCUUCCAAGGAGCUUAGCACAAAAGCUCUUCUAGAAAGAAGAAAACUUAGCUCCUGACAAAGCAAGAUUUCAUCAUUUCCCAUUUGGUGAGCUCCUUUGGGUUUAGCUCCCUCUGUAAGAAAUACCCAGGGGGAGGAACCACAAAUCCUAGAAUAAAUUUACUUGUUGCUACAUCCGAAUGACUUGGUGAAAGAAUUAAAUUUGCUCUUUUGUCUUAUUAAUUAAUUCUAGGUUUCCAGAUAUCUAAACCUCCUUAAGCCUUCUUUUUCCUUCUCCCGGGCAAGAGCUCAUUGUUCUCCUUUACAUGGAUGUUCUUCUCCUACUAGUCAAGAUGGAAGAAGAAAAAUCGUGUGUUGAGUUCUACAGGAGUCUGCUGCCAGUUUAAUGGCUAUAAAGCAGUAAUUCUGAGAUGGCUGUUCAACAAGCAGGCACGGAACCUUCAAAGAAGAGGCCAAUAGUCAUCUGUGCUAUGAAACCAAAUGGGAUUCACAGAGACUCAGAAGAUG